AUUGAACGCUGGCGGCAUGCUUUACACAUGCAAGUCGAACGGUAACAGGCCGCAAGGUGCUGACGAGUGGCGAACGGGUGAGUAAUGCAUCGGAACGUGCCCAGUCGUGGGGGAUAACUACUCGAAAGAGUAGCUAAUACCGCAUACGCUCUGUGGAUGAAAGCGGGGGACCGUAAGGCCUCGCGCGAUUGGAGCGGCCGAUGUCAGAUUAGGUAGUUGGUGGGGUAAAGGCUCACCAAGCCAACGAUCUGUAGCUGGUCUGAGAGGACGACCAGCCACACUGGGACUGAGACACGGCCCAGACUCCUACGGGAGGCAGCAGUGGGGAAUUUUGGACAAUGGGCGCAAGCCUGAUCCAGCAAUGCCGCGUGCAGGAAGAAGGCCUUCGGGUUGUAAACUGCUUUUGUACGGAACGAAACGGCUCUGGUUAAUACCCGGGGCUAAUGACGGUACCGUAAGAAUAAGCACCGGCUAACUACGUG
rnacentral:rRNA from 1 species